AUGACUAUACUUUCAGGGAUCAUUUCUAUAGUCCAUAUUAAUAGGCAAGCUUGAUUCAGCUUUGCCCAGAUAAACUUAUACAAAUUAUUGAAGGU
rnacentral:snoRNA from 1 species